UUGUGGCUCAGUGGUAGAGCACCUGCCUAGCAUGCAUGAGGCCCUGGGUUCGAUCCCCAGCACCACAUAAAAA